rnacentral:rRNA from 1 species
CAGCCGCCGCGGUAAUACGAAGGGGGCUAGCGUUGCUCGGAAUGACUGGGCGUAAAGGGCGCGUAGGCGGCGAUCAAAGUCAGGCGUGAAAUUCCUGGGCUCAACCUGGGGGCUGCGCUUGAUACUUGGUUGCUUGAGUGGGGAAGAGGGUCGUGGAAUUCCCAGUGUAGAGGUGAAAUUCGUAGAUAUUGGGAAGAACACCGGUGGCGAAGGCGGCAACCUGGCUCAUUACUGACGCUGAGGCGCGAAAGCGUGGGGAGCAAACAGGAUUAGAUACCCCAGUAGUCCCUGUCUCUUAUAC